CGCCUUCCCCGGCCUGCCCCGCCUGGUCCCGGCGCUCUGACCGCGGGCGUGACCUAUGCAGCGGUGCCUUGGCGAGGCCUUGCGGUCACCGGAGUUCUGCCUGUGGAUGGAGGUGGAGGAAUGAAAGUAGGCCUCCGCCGCGGGUUUGCUGCCGAGCCCGGCUCUGCGGGCGGGACCUUCCUCGCUGGGGUCGCUGCCCUUCGCGAUCCGCUCCAGAGGGAAGGCCCGGCCUGCUGCCCUCCCGUAACGAGCCGGGCCGCGAGCGGGGCUGCGGUGACUCAGGCCGAAGUGGCCCGGCCCUCGACUUCUGAACCCUCUCUUCUGAAAACCUCUUAGAUUUAGAAAAUUGUUCAAAGCCAAGUGAGGAUUACUUGGAGAAGAGGAUGAUGAUGAAUUAAUUGCAUUUCUCUUACAUCUCAUGGGAGAGAUGAAAGCUGACUUUACAGUGACAUUCUGCCAGCUCAGUGAGACGACCAAAAGCCAGGUACUGGAGCUCAGCAUCCCUCAGCAAUUCUGGGCACUGAUGAGUUUCAAAGCACGAACUCUUUCCUGUGUGGGUGUCCCAGUACCUUUGGCAACUGAAGAGUGACGUGAAUGACUCGGAUUCUGAAAGAAGAGAAAGAAUGAUAACUACCUGGUUCCACACUACAGAGGCACAUAAAGGGAGACAUAAAGGCCAUUGUCCUG